rnacentral:tRNA from 1 species
GCCUUCGUGGUGCAAUGGUCAGCACGCUCGGCUCGUAUUCCAGCAGUCCUUGGUUCGAGUCUCAGGAAGGUA